AUGCACGCUGGCGGCGUGCCUAAUACAUGCCAGUCGCGCGAACAGAUAAGGAGCUUGCUCCUUUGACGUUAGCGGCGGACGGGUGAGUAACACGUGGAUAACCUACCUAUAAGACUGGGAUAACUUCGGGAAACCGGAGCUAAUACCGGAUAACAUAUUGAACCGCAUGGUUCAAUAGUGAAAGGCGGCUUUGCUGUCACUUAUAGAUGGAUCCGCGCCGUAUUAGCUAGUUGGUAAGGUAACGGCUUACCAAGGCAACGAUACGUAGCCGACCUGAGAGGGUGAUCGGCCACACUGGAACUGAGACACGGUCCAGACUCCUACGGGAGGCAGCAGUAGGGAAUCUUCCGCAAUGGGCGAAAGCCUGACGGAGCAACGCCGCGUGAGUGAUGAAGGUCUUCGGAUCGUAAAACUCUGUUAUCAGGGAAGAACAAAUGUGUAAGUAACUGUGCACAUCUUGACGGUACCUGAUCAGAAAGCCACGGCUAACUACGUG
rnacentral:rRNA from 1 species